AGUGAACGCUGGCGGCAGGCCUAACACAUGCAAGUCGAACGGCAGCACAGUAAUAGCUUGCUCUUACGGGUGGCGAGUGGCGGACGGGUGAGGGAUACAUCGGAAUCGACUUUUUCGUGGGGGAUAACGUAGGGAAACUUACGCUAAUACCGCAUACGACAUACGGUUGAAAGCAGGGGACCUUCGAACCUUGCGCGAUUGCACGAGCCGAUGUCGGAUUAGCUAGUUGGCGGGGUAAAGGCGCACCCAGGUGACCAUCCUUAGCGGGUAUGAGAGGAUCAUUCGCCACCCUGGAACUGAGGCACGGUCCAGACACCUACGGGAGGCCGCAGUGGGGAAUCUUGCACGAUGGACGCAAGCCUGAUCCUGCCAUACCGCGUGAGUGAAGAAGGACUUCGGCUUGUAAAGCCCUUUUGUUGGGAAAGAAAAGCAGCAGGUUCAGACGCCGCUGUUCUGACGGUACCCAACGAAUAAGCACCGGCUAACUUCGUG
rnacentral:rRNA from 1 species